rnacentral:rRNA from 1 species
GAUGAACGCUGGCGGCGUGCCUAAUACAUGCAAGUCGAGCGAACAGACGAGGAGCUUGCUCCUCUGACGUUAGCGGCGGACGGGUGAGUAACACGUGUAUAACCUACCUAUAAUACUGGGAUAACUUCGUGAAACCGGAGCUAAUACCGGAUAAUAUAUUGAACCGCAUGGUUCAAUAGUGAAAUACGGUUUUUCUGUCUCUUAUAGAUGGAUCCGCGCCGCAUUAGCUAGUUGGUAAGGUAACGGCUUACCAAGGCAACGAUGCGUAGCCGACCUGAGAGGGUGAUCGGACAAACGGGAACUGAGACACGGACCAGACAACGACGGGAGGAAGCAGUAGGGAAUAUUACGCAAUGGGCGAAAGCAUGAAGGAGCAACGCAGAGUGAGUGAUGAAGGUCUUCGGAUCGUAAAACUCUGUUAUUAGGGAAGAAAAAAUGUGUAAGUAAAUAUGCACGUAGUGACGGUACCUAAUAAGAAAGCAACGGCUAACUACGUG